rnacentral:rRNA from 1 species
UACAGAGGUCUCAAGCGUUGUUCGGAUUCAUUGGGCGUAAAGGGCGCGUAGGCGGCGGGGUAAGUCGGGUGUGAAAUCUCAGAGCUCAACUCUGAAACUGCACUCGAUACUGCUCUGCUUGAGGACUGGAGAGGAGACUGGAAUUCACGGUGUAGCAGUGAAAUGCGUAGAUAUCGUGAGGAAGACCAGUGGCGAAGGCGGGUCUCUGGACAGUUCCUGACGCUGAGGCGCGAAAGCCAGGGGAGCGAACGGG